UACGUAGGGGGCAAGCGUUGUCCGGAAUCAUUGGGCGUAAAGCGCGCGUAGGCGGCCCUGUAAGUCCGUUGUGAAAGUCGAAGGCUCAACCUUCGAAAGCCGAUGGAUACUGCAGGGCUAGAGUCCGGAAGAGGCGAGUGGAAUUCCUGGUGUAGCGGUGGAAUGCGCAGAUAUCAGGAGGAACACCAAUAGCGAAGGCAGCUCGCUGGGCCAGAUCCGACACUCAUCCGCGAAAGCGUGGGGAGCAAACAGG
rnacentral:rRNA from 1 species